GAGGGGGUUCAGAGAGACGCCACACAUAAGGUCGGGAGUCGGAAAAGCCCUGGAGGGAUCGGUCUUUAUAAACUUCAAUCGGAGGAUACUUUAUACCCAACACCGGUCCCCAUAUUCUGAUUUCGGAUUUCAAAUGAAGGAAGUACAGAGAAAUUCUCACGAUCGAAGCUGCUCUCCUCGAUUUCUGUACUCAGUGGUUGCCAGAUAUUUUGAUGUUCGGUA
rnacentral:lncRNA from 1 species